AUGAACGCUGGCGGCGUGCCUCAUACAUGCAGGUCGAGCGAACAGACGAGGAGCUUGCUCCUCUGACGUUAGCGGCGGACGGGUGAGUAACACGUGGAUAACCUACCUAUAAGACUGGGAUAACUUCGGGAAACCGGAGCUAAUACCGGAUAAUAUAUUGAACCGCAUGGUUCAAUAGUGAAAGACGGUUUUGCUGUCACUUAUAGAUGGAUCCGCGCCGCAUUAGCUAGUUGGUAAGGUAACGGCUUACCAAGGCAACGAUGCGUAGCCGACCUGAGAGGGUGAUCGGCCACACUGGAACUGAGACACGGUCCAGACUCCUACGGGAGGCAGCAGUAGGGAAUCUUCCGCAAUGGGCGAAAGCUUGACGGAGCAACGCCGCGUGAGUGAUGAAGGUCUUCGGAUCGUAAAACUCUGUUAUUAGGGAAGAACAAAUGUGUAAGUAACUAUGCACGUCUUGACGGUACCUAAUCAGAAAGCCACGGCUAACUACGUG
rnacentral:rRNA from 1 species